GACGAACGCUGGCGGCGUGCUUAACACAUGCAAGUCGAGCGAGGAAAUUGCUUCGGGAAUUUCCUAGCGGCGGACGGGUGAGUAACACGUGGGCAACCUGCCUGAUAGAGGGGGAUAGCCUCCCGAAAGGGAGAUUAAUACCGCAUAAAGUCAAAUGAAGGCAUCUUCAAAUGACCAAAGGAGUAAUCCGCUAUCAGAUAGGCCCGCGGCGCAUUAGCUAGUUGGUGAGGUAACGGCUCACCAAGGCGACGAUGCGUAGCCGACCUGAGAGGGUGAUCGGCCACAUUGGGACUGAGACACGGCCCAGACUCCUACGGGAGGCAGCAGUGGGGAAUAUUGCACAGUGGGGGAAACCCUGAUGCAGCAACGCCGCGUGAGUGAUGAAGGCCUUCGGGUUGUAAAGCUCUGUCUUCAGGGACGAUAAUGACGGUACCUGAGGAGGAAGCCACGGCUAACUACGUGCCAGCCGCCGCCGUAAAAC
rnacentral:rRNA from 1 species